GACGAACGCUGGCGGCGUGCUUAACACAUGCAAGUCGAACGGAAAGGCCCUGCUUGUGUGGGGUGCUCGAGUGGCGAACGGGGGAGUAACACGUGAGUAACCUGCCCUUGACUUUGGGAUAACUUCAGGAAACUGGGGCUAAUACCGGAUAGGAGCUCCUGCUGCAGGGUGGGGGUUGGAAAGUUUCGGCGGGUGGGGAUGGACUCGCGGCUUAUCAGCUUGUUGGUGGGGUAGUGGCUUACCAAGGCUUUGACGGGUAGCCGGCCUGAGAGGGUGACCGGCCACAUUGGGACUGAGAGACGGCCCAGUCUCCUACGGGAGGCAGCAGUGGGGAAUAUUGCACAAUGGGCGGAAGCCUGAUGCAGCAACGCCGCGUGCGUGAUGACGGCCUUCGGGUUGUAAACCGCUUUCGCCUGUGACGAAGCGUGAGUGACGGUAAUGGGUAAAGAAGCACCGGCUAACUACGUG
rnacentral:rRNA from 1 species